rnacentral:rRNA from 1 species
GACGAACGCUGGCGGCGUGCUUAACACAUGCAAGUCGAACGGAAAGGCCCUGCUUUUGUGGGGUGCUCGAGUGGCGAACGGGUGAGUAACACGUGAGUAACCUGCCCUUGACUUUGGGAUAACUUCAGGAAACUGGGGCUAAUACCGGAUAGGAGCUCCUGCUGCAUGGUGGGGGUUGGAAAGUUUCGGCGGUUGGGGAUGGACUCGCGGCUUAUCAGCUGGUUGGUGGGGUAGUGGCUUACCAAGGCUUUGACGGGUAGCCGGCCUGAGAGGGUGACCGGCCACAUUGGGACUGAGAGACGGCCCAGACUCCUACGGGAGGCAGCAGGGGGGAAUAUUGCACAAUGGGCGGAAGCCUGAUGCAGCAACGCCGCGUGCGGGAUGACGGCCUUCGGGUUGUAAACCGCUUUCGCCUGUGACGAAGCGGGAGUGACGGUAAUGGGUAAAGAAGCACCGGCUAACUACGUG